CAGGUAGCUAGGGAUUGGCUGUCAUUUAAUUUAAAAUCCCUGUGUUUUGUGGCAGGAUUUGAACAGAGAAUGUCUCUCUGUGGGGGAAUCUGCCUUCUAUGAAGGUUGCCAUGUCAUGGGUGAUUGCACUGCACCAGUGUCUGACAGACAAGAAGUCUUACCGGCAAACUGGAGUGAGGAAGUGGAUGGUUGUACUGACGAUGAACUGGGGCUGUGGAGCUGAGUGGUGAUCUGAGAGUAGAGGACGAAGAGGCAUUUGUACAACUAGUAUCUCAGAGUUUAAGCUGUGCCAACACCGGAGGUGGGGCCAUCGGUGACGUUGCCAAGCAGAGUCUCAGAAUGGACACUUUCCAGGACAGGAAGCUGUGCGGAUCUGGAUAUCGCCAGACAAACAUUUAUAAAAUGUUUGUGAGGAUAUGGUUCUCAUCGGGCCCUAGAAAUCGAGAACCUAUCCCCACCAUGUUGUCUUGUCUGCCUUUUCCCCACCCUAUUUUUGUCCCUUAACAGGAGUCCUUUAGAAGGGUUGGUAGAGCAGGGCAAAGGUUGGGUCCCAUAUUGUGUGCAGAGUGAGAUUGUAAUGCUAUUCACCAUAUUGUUUGCAGUGCAUUCCCUUAGACUAACUAUAUUGUUGCAGUGCCAUAUCAGAAUAAUUCAGUGUGCAAUGUGUUGCAAGCCCGAUACUUACCUGAGGGAGUAAGGUGGAGGGUAACCUACCUGAGGGGAGACUCUAUUGUGUCGACGCAGUCUGGGAAUUUGUACAGUCUGCUGUGAGACAGGGUCCAAUCCAUGUUAACCCAUGUCUUGAAAAUAAGACUUACUUGUCUUGGCCUUCUGUGUUGGGGUCAGUUGCGGAUUUAGGUAUAGGAGACAUGGGCAGCUGUCCAAGGCGGCAUCUUGCCGGGGGCGGCAAGGGGCACCUGCACCAAAAACUCUGAAAGGUGACAUUUGCACGAUCUGUGUUCUAUUGCUCAUUUGCACGUCAGUGAUAUGUCACCGUGUGGGACUGUGGGUCAAUUAACCUUGUCGGAGUGGGAGCCCUGAUUCUAGUUUGUGAGCUAGGCAGCUACUUCCUGGGAAGGUCUCCCACUCAGAAGUACGAGAUGGGGUGGGGUAGGUUGACCUCAGGUCUCCCCACUCAAAUAGCGCACUUCUAACUUCCUAGUACUAAUGCAAUUAGUAAAAUCAGUCACACUAUGAAAUGCUACCUAAUAAACCACAAUUCAUUCAUAAUACUGUGACUAUAUAGUUUCACAGACAUAUUGUUGCAUUUUUUUCUGGUUUGUGUGAAAUUGUUAAUAUUAAACCAGUCUGCACAUCACCAAGGUGAAUUGGUUUAGUCUUGACUCUUGGAUGACAGUGUUGGGGGGUGGGUAAUAUAUUGAUGCACAAGUGCCAAAUCAACACAUUUGUUUUUAUUUAUCUUUGUUACUACUUUUUGAUAUUUUAGUCUUUGUAUAUAUUUAUAUAGUUUUAAAUGUUAUGAUAAUUUGUGGAGCUCCAAAUGUCUGUUAAAAAUGGGUGGGGGGGCGCUGAAGGGGGGUUCGCCCAGGGAGCCAUACAAGCUAGAACCUCCACUGGUUGGGGUUGUGUGCUGGAGCACAUUAAAUCCUUUGUUAGGUGGAGUUAUACUGGGUUCACACAAAACUGUGAC
rnacentral:lncRNA from 1 species